UGUUCCUAGUACUACCUCCAUGAUCCCACACUCCUAAUCAUAUGAGCUAAAAUAUUGCACAUUGAAUCUUUGGGAAGAUAUAAAGAAAAAGAUAUAUACAUAGAUAGAUUAUCUUUCCAUGAGGUUGAGCGAUCUGAUCUAACAAAUGUUUUAAAUGCUACAAUCAUGAACUUAUCACCCAUCAACUUUGUCUUGCUCCCUAGGUUAGAGAAGAACAAAUACACUUUUGGUUCUGUUGGUGUUUUCCACCAACAGGGCCCAUGCACUUGAUCUCUGCGUUGUCUCUAUGAGCAGGACACAUUUAGAGAAACAUGGAGGAUUUUUCAAGUCUCAUACUCUACCAAGUGAAGGACCUGGAUCUACGAGCACAAACACACUGAGCAAGAUACUGCCAACGCCGCACUUCGAACUGCUGGGCAAACGAAGAACAUGGGUGACACCGUAUCAAGAGGUGCAGACGUCAAGGUCCACACCUGAAUCAAAUGACGCACCUAAAGAAUAAACACGGUGAGAAGUCUUGUUCAGAAGACUUAAAACAUUGAACCCUUGCCGAAAGGUAAAAUCGGUAGUUAUCCAUAUUUAUCCUUUCUGCAUUCCCUUUUUCCUUAAAUUAUUUACUUUCCUUAAAUAGCUUGUUAGUUAAUCAUGCUAUCUUGAAAAGAAAUUAAAAAUGUUAAAAAUAGUAAGCCCCAUGUGAGUAUGCUCGUGGCAUAAAACCCAUAAGUACAUUCACUGUGGUGGCGUAAAAAUAAAAUAAAUAUAUUUCUGUCCUAUUAAAAUAAAAAUAUAAAAAUAUAUUUAUGAUUCUACCAAAGAGAGUAAUAUUUAUUAGAGGAAGCUCAACAUGAUAACGGCUAAGAGAUUUUAUGCUAACACUUAACCAGUCCCACAAUGCUUUGUUGUCUAUUUGGGCUCCACAGAAUUCAAGGAUCAAAGAAGACUAGCAGACGGAGGACAUCCUAAUCGCUGUCACGGUGCUGCCGACAUUCAAAUACACCUCCGCCACCUGCUAGCUACAUCAGAAGAAAUUACGUCAAAAUCCAGCUUGGGGGAGAGCACCCCCAUUUAUCCAGCUAAAUGUUUCUACCCGUGUUUAUACUUUACUCAAAUAAUAAAAAGAUGCAUAAUCAUAAAAACCCAAAUAAAGAUUUUAUGCUUAUAUAUAUAUCUUUGCUUAGUUUGCUAAAUAAAUAAAUAAAUAAAGUUUGCUAUGAACCCUCAUGAUAAGCUCUCACAUGGAAAUGAUGAAUAGUUGCUCUGCCAUGACUAGUUCUCAAAAUUGAAUUCUCUCUCAAGUUUAGGCAUGACUGUUAUGAAUUAAAAUUUGCUCUAAACCUGAACUUGUGGGAAGAGUACUUGAUCUAAAGUCUAAGUCGUUAACAGAUACGAUAUGGGAAGGUUGAGCUGCUGUUUAUCUGUUCCUAGAGAUGCUAGAUUUCUGGAGAAUUUUAUCUUUGAAAAUCUUUAAAAUGUUGCAUGAUGAGUUCCUGUAUGAUGAGAGUUCAAAAUCCUACCACAGCCAUAUAUACAUGCUUAUUAGACUAUGAACCAUACAUUACUUUUUACUGCUUAUGAGCAUUGAGUGUGGUCAAGCUGUGUAGACCCUUAGGAGCUUGUCAUGUGGUUAAAAUCAAGAUUUACUUGUACGUUCACUCAUACAUGCUGCUUCUACUCCGGAAGUACGCAUCCACAUACAUCCACUCAUUUCCAUCUCUAGAUUCACCCAAAAUUAUUCUACCCCUAUCUAGGAGAGAAUAGCCAAAAACAUUAUCCUAUCCCUGUUAUUCCAUGUGAAAUAAAGGCUCGAGAUAUUUUGGUUACUACCACUUGCUACAUUAUCCCAGGAGGGUGAGUGCUCUGAAAAAAGAGUGAAUACGAGGAAAUAAAAAGGGGCAAGUGCCCGAAACCUCGAAGAAAAGAAAAGUGAGACGAGAGGUAAAAAUGGACAAGUGUCUGACAGUAGAAUUAGGGGUACAAGAUACCCACCUGAAAUAAAAAAAUAAAAAAAUAAUAAAUAUAGAGCAUCUCAUUCCCCUCAAAAGCCUCAAGUGCAAGGAAGGUAUGUACCCCCUCAAAAGAGCAAAAGUAGAAUUAGACUUUCACCAUCAUCACCAUACACCAUUCAUUCGCCACACAUGCACAUCUUGAUUUGACUUAUUGACUUGUUCUUCUGGAUCCAUAGUUUGACUAUGCAAUAAAUGUCUUGUAAGUAUGUAUACUUUAUCUCCCACCUAUGAGCUCCAGAUAUCAAGCCUUAUUAGAUUAGGGUGAGAGAGAAGGCAAUGUCACUAUGCCUUAUACCACAAAUACUACAUACUUUGAGAGAAGGCAUAUACCAUUACUGCCUUGGUAAGGAUCCAGAAAUACCACAAAAGAGAGAUUUGAGAGUCAUACAAAGGAAUCUCUGAGUUUUAUUUGAAAAUCUACAAAAACUCUAGAGCUAUAGUUAAUCAAAGAACAAGAGACAUGGCGCUUGACUUGACCGUUCUAUCUUUUAACUGCUCAAGACACAAGUGACGGUUACAAGCCCCAUGGUGGAAGGUAAUAUGAGUAAGUUUAAAUCUUAACAGUUUACCCUAACCUAGAGAUGAGAUCUUGUUUGAACGCAUGUGUACCUUUAAGGCAUCAAACCACUGCAAAAACUCUUGAGUCCAUCAUUGCUCAGGGACGAGCAAGAGGUAAGCUUGGGGGAGUUGUUGACGGUCCUUAAGUACCAAAUUUAAUUAUCAAAUAAACAAAGAAAAGGAUCCAAAUGCAACCAACACCCAAACUUAGGGUUUUAUCUGACAGAAUUCCACGAGUUUUGGUGUUUGUCUAUUUCUACAGGGGGUUAUCAGGAAAUAUGGAGGAAAGGCCCACAUGUCGGGUUUACAUAGAGAUAUUAACGUGCCGCGCAAUUUUCUAUCAUCUAGAAGACUCCAGAAGCC
rnacentral:lncRNA from 1 species